AAUACGGAGGGUGCAAGCGUUGUUCGGAAUCACUGGGCGUAAAGGGCGCGCAGGCGGGUUGGCAAGUCAGAUGUGAAAUCCUACAGCUUAACUGUAGAACUGCAUCUGAAACUGCUAACCUAGAGUAUGGGAGGGGGAGAUGGAAUUAGUGGUGUAGGGGUAAAAUCCGUAGAUAUCACUAGGAAUACCGAAAGCGAAGGCGAUCUCCUGGAACAUAACUGACGCUAAGGCGUGAAAGCGUGGGGAGCAAACAGGAUUAGAAACCCCAGUAGUCC
rnacentral:rRNA from 1 species